UACGUAGGGGGCGAGCGUUGUCCGGAUUCAUUGGGCGUAAAGCGCGCGUAGGCGGCUUCGCAAGUCGGCCGUGAAAUCUCCAGGCUCAACUUGGAGGGGUCGGGCGAGACUGCGAGGCUCGAGGUGGGCAGAGGGCAGUGGAAUUCCGGGUGUAGUGGUGGAAUGCGUAGAGAUCAGGAAGAACACCCGUGGCGCAAGCGGCCACCUGGCAGAGUUCUGACGCUGAGGCACGAAAGCGUGGGGAGCGAACCGG
rnacentral:rRNA from 1 species